rnacentral:rRNA from 1 species
AUUGAACGCUGGCGGCAUGCCUUACACAUGCAAGUCGAACGGCAGCACGGGAGCAAUCCUGGUGGCGAGUGGCGAACGGGUGAGUAAUAUAUCGGAACGUGCCAGUCUGGGGAUAACGUAGCGAAAGCUACGCUAAUACCGCAUACGAUCUACGGAUGAAAGCGGGGGAUCGCAGACCUCGCGCGAUUGGAGCGGCCGAUAUCAGAUUAGGUAGUUGGUGAGGUAAAGGCUCACCAAGCCGACGAUCUGUAG